UCCAGAGCCUAGUUCCUAAGAACAUGAGCACAGGCAAAACAGCAGGAAUAUCCUUUGGACCCACAAAGAGAAACAUGAGCAAAGUAUGUCUCACCACAGUGAGUCAAGAGGAUCAGCUUGUUCUUCUAUGUGUGAUGGAGCAAAAAGAAACCUUUAACAUCAAAAAAAAAAAAUAGUAACAAGAGAAUAUUGUGUCAGCAAAAACAGGCAAAAACAAAACUCUGCAUUCUUUUCAAAGGCAUUAAUAUUGUCACAACAGUAAGGGCAAAGUAACAAAUUUCACUUCAACUUUGACCCUGUUAGUUGGUGCUGAGCUAAAAGUCAAAAGAAGUUACAGAGUUUCAGUGUGAGGUCUAGGGUAAAAUAAAAUAAGUUAAUGAUACAGGUUUUCUAUAUUUCCUCCAUUAAAAGUGUCAAUAAAGACAUUGGAAUUCUGAGGACUUUUCUGUAGUGGGAAAUAAGUUUGUUCAGGUUCCUGGCUUGCAAGGGCCUAUAGUCUGGCCAAAUGGCAUAACAAUCUUUGGGAUGGGGAGGGUGAUGAUAAAGUUUAUGCAGCAUUGCUAGCUACUAAAAUGCAGAGGAUAAGGCACAAAAAGUUUUCUUCAAGGUGUUGAAAGAAAAGUUCAUCCAAGGGUUCCCAUUGGCCUAUCAUUCUCCUGAACCAUAAAGAAAAUGUAUUAACACUUUCAUCACAUAAUUACUAAAGAUUACUGAAAAC